rnacentral:rRNA from 1 species
GACGAACGCUGGCGGCGUGCUUAACACAUGCAAGUCGAACGGAAAGGCCCUGCUUUUGUGGGGUGCUCGAGUGGCGAACGGGUGAGUAACACGUGAGUAACCUGCCCUUGACUUUGGGAUAACUUCAGGAAACUGGGGCUAAUACCGGAUAGGAGCUCCUGCUGCAUGGUGGGGGUUGGAAAGUUUCGGCGGUUGGGGAUGGACUCGCGGCUUAUCAGCUUGUUGGUGGGGUAGUGGCUUACCAAGGCUUUGACGGGUAGCCGGCCUGAGAGGGUGACCGGCCACAUUGGGACUGAGAUACGGCCCAGACUCCUACGGGAGGCAGCAGUGGGGAAUAUUGCACAAUGGGCGGAAGCCUGAUGCAGCAACGCCGCGUGCGGGAUGACGGCCUUCGGGUUGUAAACCGCUUUCGCCUGUGACGAAGCGUGAGUGACGGUAAUGGGUAAAGAAGCACCGGCUAACUACGUGCCAGCAGCCGCGGUGAUACGUAGGGUGCGAGCGUUGUCCGGAUUUAUUGGGCGUAAAGGGCUCGUAGGUGGUUGAUCGCGUCGGAAGUGUAAUCUUGGGGCUUAACCCUGAGCGUGCUUUCGAUACGGGUUGACUUGAGGAAGGUAGGGGAGAAUGGAAUUCCUGGUGGAGCGGUGGAAUGCGCAGAUAUCAGGAGGAACACCAGUGGCGAAGGCGGUUCUCUGGGCCUUUCCUGACGCUGAGGAGCGAAAGCGUGGGGAGCGAACAGGCUUAGAUACCCUGGUAGUCCACGCUGUAAACGGUGGGUACUAGGUGUGGGGUCCAUUCCACGGGUUCCGUGCCGUAGCUAACGCUUUAAGUACCCCGCCUGGGGAGUACGGCCGCAAGGCUAAAACUCAAAGGAAUUGACGGGGCCCCGCACAAGCGGCGGAGCAUGCGGAUUAAUUCGAUGCAACGCGUAGAACCUUACCUGGGUUUGACAUGGAUCGGGAGUGCUCAGAGAUGGGUGUGCCUCUUUUGGGGUCGGUUCACAGGUGGUGCAUGGCUGUCGUCAGCUCGUGUCGUGAGAUGUUGGGUUAAGUCCCGCAACGAGCGCAACCCUUGUUCACUGUUGCCAGCACGUUAUGGUGGGGACUCAGUGGAGACCGCCGGGGUCAACUCGGAGGAAGGUGGGGAAGACGUCAAGUCAUCAUGCCCCUUAUGUCCAGGGCUUCACGCAUGCUACAAUGGCUGGUACAGAGAGUGGCGAGCCUGUGAGGGUGAGCGAAUCUCGGAAAGCCGGUCUCAGUUCGGAUUGGGGUCUGCAACUCGACCUCAUGAAGUCGGAGUCGCUAGUAAUCGCAGAUCAGCAACGCUGCGGUGAAUACGUUCCCGGGGCU